GGGGAGUUUGUGCGAGAAAAUCAAUUCAGUACCGUACACGGUACCAUCAAUUUUCCAUAAAAUACAUUUAAGUUAUCGGAACAAGGCAUUAUGACUGGAACAUGAAGGCAAGCAAUGCAGAGGAAGAAAAAUUAUCUUUAUGGUGAACUCUGCGGACAUCCCAAUACUUUUUCAGAUGCCCCCAGUUAAGUCAACAAUGGAACUUUCCAAGAAGAGGGAAGAGGACCUAUGGAACGAUAUCCGCCCAUUUUUAGAUGAGGAAAAGGUAGAUCCUCUCAGCAUGAUCUGACCAAUGCGGUGACCUGAUCCGGCGUCACAGCUCUUGUCAGCUUGAGAGUCGCAGACCGGUCAGAGACAAGUCGCAAGGAAAACCGUAAGGAUUUGACAUGUCAAAUCCUUAUGACUGAACGGCAGGCUCAAUCCAACUUCCAACCAAUCAGACAGCAGAGUUGCACGACGCGUAUAUGAUAUACAACAUCCAUACGCUGUACGUAGUAAGCGCUAUUUUCUCAGUUGCUAUGGCAAAAAGCGCAGCAUGCGUGAGUCAAAGACAACAUAGCAUGAAAGUCGGAUCGCAAGGUGUGCGGUGUCGAGGCUUAUGACUACCAUGCGAUUUAAGCUUCGACACUGCACACCUUGCGAUCCGACUACCAUGCUGUCUGCUACUCACGCAUGCAAUAUAAGGCCAGGGGGUGUUUCACAAAGAUUUAAGUAUGACUUAGAGUCGCACUUAAAUGCCUCAUUACGUGCGAUAUAAAAGGCAUGACCGCAUUGGUCAGGUCAUGAGUAGAGGCAGCGCACUACUGCCUAUUUGCGUUGGCAUUUAAGUGCUACCUAAGUCAUACUUAAAUCGUUGUAAAACACCACCCUGGUUACAUUGUAAAGCCAGGUUACACUAUAAGUUGUUUCAAUUUUAAGCCAAGUUACUAUUUAAUGUUGGGUUACAUUACAAGGCAAGACUACAUUAUCAGGCCAUGUUACACUUUUAGUCAGGUUACACUAUAAGGUCAGUGGUGUUUCACAAAGAUUUUAAUAUGACUCUUACAUGAUAUGCAACAUGAAUCUUUUUUUCAAUACCGUACGCAGUAGUGCGAGUCCUCUCAGCAUGAUCUGACCAAUGCAGUGAUGUCUUUUAUACUGCAUGCAAGUAGGCCCAGAUUACACUUAUAGAUCAGGAUACCUUCUAAAGCCUGGUUACGCUUUAAAGAAGGUAACUCUUUAAAGCAGGUUAAAUUAUUAGGAGAGGUAACACAAUAAGCACAUGAAUCACACUUAAAAGGUCUAUGGAAGCCACUUGACUUUUCAAUUGCAGGUUACAUUAUAAGGCAAGGUUACACAAUAAGCACAGGUAUCACACUAUCAGGCAACUCAGCCUAGAUUACACUAAAAGAUCAGGAUACAUUUUAAAGCCAGGUUUAAAGCAAGGUUACUGUUUAAGAAGUUAACUCUUUGCAGGUUAAACUAUAAGGCCAGGUUACACAAUAAGCACAGGUAUCACACUUUAAAGCCUAUCAAAGCCAGAUUACUUUUUAAUUCCAGGUUACAUUAUAUAGGCCAGGGGGUGUUUCACAAAGAUUUAAUUAUGACUUAGAGUCGCACUUAAAUGCCUAGUUUUGCGCGGUAUAAAAGCCAUGACCGCAUUGCACAUUGGUCAGAUCAUGCAAAGAGGACGCGCACUAUUGCGUAUUGAUGAAUUAGGUUGCGCGUUGCAUUUCAGAUACGCGUCGGCAUUUAAGUGCGAUUUAAGUCAUACUUAAAUCUUUGUGAAACACCCCCCAGGUUACGUUGACCAUGUUUCAGUUUUAACCUAGUUACUCUUUAAUGUUGGGUUACAUUACAAGGCAAGACUACAUUAUCAGGCCAUGUUGCACUUUUAGUUAGGUUACACUAUAAGGUCAGGGGUGUUUCACAAAGAUUUUAAUAUGACUCUUACAUGACAUGCAACGUGAAUCUUUUUUAUCAAUACCGUACGCAGUAGUGCGAGUCCUCUCAGCAUGAUCUGACCAAUGCGGUGAUGUCUUUUAUACUGCACGCAAGUAGGCCCAGAUUACACUACUGCUAUAUCAGACUUUGUUCUUGUAUUUAAAGUCUUCAGAUUACUAAAAAAUAGUGGUCAUAAAACUGUCUGGGAGUUAUGCUUAAUUUUAUACCUAAAAAGCCAUUUGUGACUUUGAUGAUUUUUUCACUCUUAUUUUUUGGGGAUUUUUUUUAUACAAAAACAUCACGCUGAUCAUUUCAUGACAUGAAUGCAAGCAAGAAUAAAACCUGCAAAAUAAACAUUUCUAAUUAUAUGCAUUCUAAUUUUAUAUGAAUUAAACAAGGAUCAAUAGACCGGUUUACUAACAUAUUCAAAUUUUAUGCAUACCAGUUUAACAAAGCUUGCCUGAUAUUUGCCGAAAAUAGUAACAACUAAUGUAUGCAAAGUGGAUUCCAAGUAUUGAAAUACCAUUAAUAGGUACAGGUUAAUAGAAUAACUCGUUACUAGGCCCCGAUGGAAGAAACAUCCAUAAAUUUGACUAUAUUAGUAAACCGGUCUAUUCCAGGGCGUCACUGGUACCUAUCUUCUGUUGGUGGCGAGCUGCUCAUUGUUGGAAAGUGAACAUUGCGCGUUGGAUCUCAAAUCAAAAGUGUUUUAUUAGAAUAUCUCUUUUACAGUUUUAUUGAUCAAAUUUGUAUAUAUCCAAUAUAUAGUAUUCCUCUGGUAAUUAUGGAGUCAGAAGACAUGGAACUGUUAUUAUUUUGGCUAUAUAGAUCCAUAAUUUUUUGGAUAUUCAUGUUUGUGCAAUCAUCAAUUUCAGGUUUUUGAAUGUAUCAGGAUUGGGUUGUGGCUUAGUGGUCGAGGAUUUGGCUUUGCGUCCCACCCCCACCCACAAACAACAAUAUAUAGUUGACUUGCCAUAUUAUUGUAUUUUAAUAACUCGGGUAUAUGAUUUUUUUUGUAUUCUAAGAAUUUUAUGUCGUAUAUAUAAUGCUUUUGUCUAGUUUUGUUUUUAGGAUUUUCACAGAGUAUUCAUUUGCUUUAUACUUCGCUUUAUUUUGCUGCUUUGUUCUCCUUAACAAGAUAUAUAUAGCAUCAUUUUGCUAGUACGUUUGUUCCUUUUGAUUGCUCUUUCUUUUAUGUACAUAUAUUUUAUAGAAACAGGCCCACUCCACCUCAAGUAAAAGGUUGUCUUGUACACAUCGGGGUGUGGCCUUCUAAUCUAAAUUGUUUGGUCUUCCUUAUGGUAUGAGAUAUAUGGAGUUUAAUUUAAACUAUUAUUUGAAUAGUUUUGUGGAGUAGAGUAUUUGUUACCCAUAUCAUACAGAUAACAUGACUUUUGUCUUUCUUAAUCUAAGAGUUUUAUGAAGUAUAUUGACGACUAGAUUUGCUUUACAUCUCGGUGUAUUUUGUUGAAUUUUUCUUCAAUAAAGUUACAUCAGCACUUUA